GACGAACGCUGGCGGCGUGCUUAACACAUGCAAGUCGAACGGAAAGGCCCUGCUUUUGUGGGGUGCUCGAGUGGCGAACGGGUGAGUAACACGUGAGUAACCUGCCCUUGACUUUGGGAUAACUUCAGGAAACUGGGGCUAAUACCGGAUAGGAGCUCCUGCUGCAUGGUGGGGGUUGGAAAGUUUCGGCGGUUGGGGAUGGACUCGCGGCUUAUCAGCUUGUUGGUGGGGUAGUGGCUUACCAAGGCUUUGACGGGUAGCCGGCCUGAGAGGGUGACCGGCCAAGUGGGGACGGAGAGACCGCCCACACUCCAAGGGGGGCAAGGAGGGGGGAAUAUUGCACGAGGGGCGGAAGCCUGAGGCAGCAACGCGGCGUGCGGGAGGACGGCCUGAGGGUUGGAACCCGCUUCCGGCUGGGACGGAGCGUGAGGGACGUUAAUGGGUAAAGAAGCACCGGCUAACGACGUACCAGCACCCGCGGGAAAAAUCGACGCGCUCACUUCUGAAC
rnacentral:rRNA from 1 species